UGUGUCUUUGAGGGUGUUUCUGGAAGAGAUUCGCAUUUGAAUCAGUAAGCUGAGUAAAGAUUGCCCUCACCAGUGCAAGAAGGCAUCAUCCAAUCCACUGCUGAAUUGAACAAAAAGCGGCAGAAGUUUUCCCAUCUCGGUAAAUGACAUCAUCAGCCAUCAGACUAUUCAAGACAAAACCUAGGACUGAGUCAUCUUUGACAUCUUUGCAUCCAUAACUCCUAUAGGAAAUCCAAAGCUGGAGUACAGUGCCCAGUCAUAGCUCACCACAGCCUUGAACUCUUGGGCUCAAGCAAUUCUCCC